GAUGAACGCUGGCGGCGUGCCUAAUACAUGCAAGUCGAGCGAACAGAUGAUGAGCUUGCUCCUCUGCCGUUAGCGGCGGACGGGUGAGUAACACGUGGAUAACCUACCUAUAAGACUGGGAUAACUUCGGGAAACCGGAGCUAAUACCGGAUAAUAUAUUGAACCGCAUGGUUCAAUAGUGAAAGACGGUUUUGCUGUCACUUAUAGAUGGAUUCGCGCCGCAUUAGCUAGUUGGUAAGGUAACGGCUUACCAAGGCAACGAUGCGUAGCCGACCUGAGAGGGUGAUCGGCCACACUGGAACUGAGACACGGUCAAGACUCCUACGGGAGGCAGCAGUAGGGAAUCUUCCGCAAUGGGCGAAAGCCUGACGGAGCAACGCCGCGUGAGUGAUGAAGGUCUUCGGAUCGUAAAACUCUGUUAUUAGGGAAGAACAAAUGUGUAAUUAACUAUGCACGUCUUGACGGUACCUAAUCAGAAAGCCACGGCUAACUACGUG
rnacentral:rRNA from 1 species